rnacentral:rRNA from 1 species
UACGAAGGGUGCAAGCGUUACUCGGAAUUACUGGGCGUAAAGCGUGCGUAGGUGGUUGUUUAAGUCUGUUGUGAAAGCCCUGGGCUCAACCUGGGAACUGCAGUGGAAACUGGACGACUAGAGUGUGGUAGAGGGUAGCGGAAUUCCCGGUGUAGCAGUGAAAUGCGUAGAGAUCGGGAGGAACAUCCAUGGCGAAGGCAGCUACCUGGACCAACACUGACACUGAGGCACGAAAGCGUGGGGAGCAAACAGG